rnacentral:rRNA from 1 species
CUACCAUGCAAGUCGAGCGGUAGAGAGGUGCUUGCACCUCUUGAGAGCGGCGGACGGGUGAGUAAAGCCUAGGAAUCUGCCUGGUAGUGGGGGAUAACGCUCGGAAACGGACGCUAAUACCGCAUACGUCCUACGGGAGAAAGCAGGGGACCUUCGGGCCUUGCGCUAUCAGAUGAGCCUAGGUCGGAUUAGCUAGUUGGUGAGGUAAUGGCUCACCAAGGCGACGAUCCGUAACUGGUCUGAGAGGAUGAUCAGUCACACUGGAACUGAGACACGGUCCAGACUCCUACGGGAGGCAGCAGUGGGGAAUAUUGGACAAUGGGCGAAAGCCUGAUCCAGCCAUGCCGCGUGUGUGAAGAAGGUCUUCGGAUUGUAAAGCACUUUAAGUUGGGAGGAAGGGCAUUAACCUAAUACGUUAGUGUUUUGACGUUACCGACAGAAUAAGCACCGGCUAACUCUGUGCCAGCAGCCGCGGUAAUACAGAGGGUGCAAGCGUUAAUCGGAAUUACUGGGCGUAAAGCGCGCGUAGGUGGUUCGUUAAGUUGGAUGUGAAAUCCCCGGGCUCAACCUGGGAACUGCAUUCAAAACUGUCGAGCUAGAGUAUGGUA